rnacentral:rRNA from 1 species
AACGAACGCUGGCGGCGUGCCUAACACAUGCAAGUCGAGCGAGAAAGUAGCAAUACGAGUACAGCGGCGAACGGGUGAGUAAUACGUAGGUAAUCUACCUAGUAUUGGGGGAUAACAACUCGAAAGGGUUGCUAAUACCGCAUACGAAGUCGGGUCGAUGGAUCCGCCUUGAAAGGAGGCUCUCGCAAGAGGCUUUCGAUACUAGAUGAGCCUGCGUCCCAUUAGCUAGUUGGUAGGGUAAUGGCCUACCAAGGCUUCGAUGGGUAGCUGGUCUGAGAGGACGACCAGCCACACUGGAACUGACACACGGUCCAGACUCCUACGGGAGGCAGCAGUGGGAAUAUUGCGCAAUGGAGGAAACUCUGACGCAGCGACGCCGCGUGGGUGAUGAAGGCCU